UUAGGUGUAUCAUACUCCCCUAAACUUGAACCAUUGCUUGUCCUCAAGCAAUUUAGCUUGCAUAUAAAAAAACAUUUGAAAUGCAAAGCAACUCACACACACAGACUUAGAGAAAAAUAACAUCACAAGUACUCAUACGUGGUCAGAAAUUCAGAUUGGCUAAGAUUAAUUAGUUAGGUUCUUAUUCAAUCAAGAAGGGUAUUUCAACGACACACAAAGUUCUCCCUCUUAUACAUAUCGAAUUUGGAUCAUGCCGUUGUACUAAAAUCUAAAUCUUCUCCUUUGUUUCAUCCUUUUUCANNNNNNNNNNNNNNNNNNNNNNNNNNNNNNNNNNNAAGACCCUUUAUCUAUGUCACACACAUGGUAAGAAAAUCGGUUAGCGUCUUUAUUCAUCUUUUUCAACUCGCAAUUAGCUUGAUGAUGCAAAAAAAAAUUUGUAUGAGCAUUCAGAGCUGCUGUAUGACAUUGUCGAGCUGCUGUUGACGGUGCUCUUCUGAACUCUCUCAUUGGUUGUGAUAGCCCUGCAUUUGAUGUUGGCUUUUGAAGAAUUUGUGCUUAUUGGGCUUGCAUGAAUUCCAUUCGUUCCAACAUCUCCUCUUGUUGCUGAUGCAUCGCAUAAAAGAGUCCAUCGCGCUCCUCGUUGAUAGCAUUUAGAGCGCGCAUUUCAUAGAACACAUCAUCAACGGUACUCUAUCUUGAUGAGGAAGAACUGCCUGCAAAAGUGUUAGAAAAAUGUGUAGUG
rnacentral:lncRNA from 1 species